rnacentral:tRNA from 1 species
AGAGAGGUGCCCGAGUGGUUGAAGGGGCACGCCUGGAAAGCGUGUAAGUCGGUAACGGCUUCGAGAGUUCGAAUCUCUUCCUCUCUGC